AUGGAAUAUGCAAUUAUUCAUAAAACUAAUUCAUUGGCUGUGGGAAAAGAAACCUUGAAAUAAAUACAUGCCUGGUGUUUUAAGUCUGCUUCCUAAGGUACUGUGAUGGAAGAUGAUUGGCUCUUGCUCCCGUCCCCCUCAUGAGUAACUGGAGUCAAGCAGCUUCUUUAUUAGGAGAUACCUUACAUACAGAAACCGCACGUAACCAAUGUAUGCAAUUUGGAGUCCCAGAAGAAGAAGAAGAGAGAAAAGGGGACAGAAAAUUUAUUUGUGGAAAUAAUAGCUGAAAACUUCCCUAACCUGCGGAAUGAAACAGACAGAUACAGAAGGCACAGAGAACUCCCAUCAAAAUCAA